rnacentral:rRNA from 1 species
CCCCUAGUAACUGCGAGUGAAGCGGGAAAAGCUCAAAUUUUGAAUCUGACGGCGGUAGCCCGUCCGAGUUGUAAUCUAGAGAAGCGUUUUCCUGGUGCCGGACCGUGUACAAGUCUCCUGGAAGGGAGCGUCAUAGAGGGUGAGAAUCCCGUCUUUGACACGGAUACCGGUGCAUCCGUGAUACGCUCUCGACGAGUCGAGUUGUUUGGGAAUGCAGCUCAAAAUGGGUGGUAAAUUCCAUCUAAAGCUAAAUACAGGCGAGAGACCGAUAGCGAACAAGUACCGUGAGGGAAAGAUGAAAAGAACUUUGGAAAGAGAGUUAAACAGUACGUGAAAUUGCUGAAAGGGAAACGCUUGAUGUCAGUCGCGUCGGCCGGGGAUCAACCUUGCUUUUUCGUUGGGUGUAUUUCCUGGUCGACGGGUCAGCAUCAGUUUCGAUCGUCGUACAAUGGCGGAGGGAACGUGGCACUCUUCGGAGUGUGUUAUAGCCUUUCGUCGGAUGCGGUGGUCAGGACUGAGGAACUCAGCAUGGCUUCUCGGAGUUUUGUGCUUAGGAUGCUGGCAUAAUGGCCUUAAGCGACCCGUCUUGAAACACGGACCAAGGAGUCUAACAUGCCUGCGAGUGUUUGGGUGGAAAACCCGAGCGCGAAAUGAAAGUGAAAGUUGAGAUCUCUGUCGUGGAGAGCAUCGACGCCCGGACCAGAGUCUUUGACGACGGAUCUGCGGUAGAGCAUGUAUGUUAGGACCCGAAAGAUGGUGAACUAUGCCUGAAUAGGGCGAAGCCAGAGGAAACUCUGGUGGAGGCUCGUAGCGAUUCUGACGUGCAAAUCGAUCGUCAAAUUUGGGUAUAGGGGCGAAAGACUAAUCGAACCAUCUAGUAGCUGGUUCUG